rnacentral:snoRNA from 1 species
AGAGCAUCAAUGAGGAAUUACUCUCAUUUGUUAUCCUUGCACUUUGAUUUUUCCAUGAAGAAAUCUUAUGGGGAAGAAAAGUGUUCUGCGAUGCUU